rnacentral:rRNA from 1 species
UACGGAGGGAGCAAGCGUUAUUCGGAUUCACUGGGCUUAAAGGGUGCGUAGGCGGGUAUGUAAGUCAGUGGUGAAAUCUCCGUGCUUAACACGGAAACUGCCAUUGAUACUAUGUUUCUUGAAUUUUCUGGAGGUUAGCGGAAUAUGUCAUGUAGCGGUGAAAUGCUUAGAUAUGACAUAGAACACCAAUUGCGAAGGCAGCUAACUACAGGGAUAUUGACACUGAGGCACGAAAGCGUGGGGAUCAAACAGG